GUCUACGAGGGCUCCGUCCGCCCGCUGCUGGCCCAGUUCCUGGCCGGCCGCGACGUCACCAUUCUCGCCUACGGGCCCAGCGGCUCCGGGAAGACUCACACCAUGCUGGGCGGUGAAGGGGAGCCCGGCUUGGUGCAGCGCGCCCUCGAGGAGCUUCUGCAGGCCGUGGGGGCCGGCCGCCGCCUCAGCGUGGCCUGCAUGGAGGUGUACUGCGAGGAGGUGCAGCCUGGUCCCUGCUGGGCACUGCUUGGGUGCUCCCCAGCGCUGUCCUUCUGUGGCCAG